GGCUCAGGAUGAACGCUAGCGGCAGGCUUAAUACAUGCAAGUCGUGGGGCAGCACAGGUAGCAAUACUGGGUGGCGACCGGCAAACGGGUGCGGAACACGUACGCAACCUUCCUUUAAGCGGGGAAUAGCCCAGGGAAACUUGGAUUAAUACCCCAUAAGACAGUGGAGUGGCAUCACUCAGCUGUUAAAGCUCCGGCACUUAAAGAUGGGCGUGCGGCUGAUUAGGUAGUUGGCGGGGUAACGGCCCACCAAGCCGACGAUCAGUAACUGGUGUGAGAGCACGACCAGUCACACGGGCACUGAGACACGGGCCCGACUCCUACGGGAGGCAGCAGUAAGGAAUAUUGGUCAAUGGACGCAAGUCUGAACCAGCCAUGCCGCGUGGAGGAUGAAGGCCCUCUGGGUUGUAAACUUCUUUUAUUGGGGAAGAAACCGGUGUUUUCUAACGCCGUUGACGGUACCCAUUGAAUAAGCACCGGCUAACUCCGUGCCAGCAGCCGCGGUAAUACGGAGGGUGCAAGCGUUAUCCGGAUUCACUGGGUUUAAAGGGUGCGUAGGUGGGUAGGUAAGUCAGUGGUGAAAUCUCCAAGCUUAACUUGGAAACUGCCGUUGAUACUAUUUAUCUUGAAUAUAGUGGAGGUGAGCGGAAUAUGUCAUGUAGCGGUGAAAUGCUUAGAUAUGACAUAGAACACCAAUUGCGAAGGCAGCUUGCUACACUAUUAUUGACACUGAGGCACGAAAGCGUGGAGAUCAAACAGGAUUAGAUACCCUGGUAGUCCACGCCCUAAACGAUGGAUACUCGACAUCAGCGAUACACUGUUGGUGUCUGAGCGAAAGCAUUAGGUAUCCCACCUGGGAAGUACGACCGCAAGGUGAAACUC
rnacentral:rRNA from 1 species